AGAGUUUGAUCCUGGCUCAGGACGAACGCUGGCGGCGUGCCUAAUACAUGCAAGUCGAGCGAGCUGAAUUCAAAGAUUCCUUCGGGAUGAAUUGUUGGACGCUAGCGGCGGAUGGGUGAGUAACACGUGGGCAAUCUGCCCUAAAGACUGGGAUACCACUUGGAAACAGGUGCUAAUACCGGAUAACAACAUGAAUCGCAUGAUUCAAGUUUGAAAGGCGGCGCAAGCUGUCACUUUAGGAUGAGCCCGCGGCGCAUUAGCUAGUUGGUGGGGUAAAGGCCUACCAAGGCAAUGAUGCGUAGCCGAGUUGAGAGACUGAUCGGCCACAUUGGGACUGAGACACGGCCCAAACUCCUACGGGAGGCAGCAGUAGGGAAUCUUCCACAAUGGACGCAAGUCUGAUGGAGCAACGCCGCGUGAGUGAAGAAGGUUUUCGGAUCGUAAAGCUCUGUUGUUGGUGAAGAAGGAUAGGGGCAGUAACUGGUCUUUAUUUGACGGUAAUCAACCAGAAAGUCACGGCUAACUACGUGCCAGCAGCCGCGGUAAUACGUAGGUGGCAAGCGUUGUCCGGAUUUAUUGGGCGUAAAGCGAGCGCAGGCGGAAUGAUAAGUCUGAUGUGAAAGCCCACGGCUCAACCGUGGAACUGCAUCGGAAACUGUCAUUCUUGAGUGCAGAAGAGGAGAGUGGAACUCCAUGUGUAGCGGUGGAAUGCGUAGAUAUAUGGAAGAACACCAGUGGCGAAAGCGGCUCUCUGGUCUGCAACUGACGCUGAGGCUCGAAAGCAUGGGUAGCGAACAGGAUUAGAUACCCUGGUAGUCCAUGCCGUAAACGAUGAGCGCUAGUGUUGGGGACUUUCCGGUCCUCAGUGCCGCAGCAAAGGCAUAAGCGCUCCGCCUGGGGAGUACGACCGCAAGGUUGAAACUCAAGGAAUUGACUGGGGGCCCGCCCAGCGGUGCAGUAUGGUGUUUGAAUCCCGAUCGACGCGAAGAACACUUAGCAAGUUCUGGACAUCCUGGGCU
rnacentral:rRNA from 1 species